rnacentral:tRNA from 2 species
GAGUAAAUGGCGUAAGAUAGAGCGUGUAUGGUUUCGGGUCAUAAGGUGCAGGUUUGUUUUACUUU